ACAGGGAUUGCCCUAGUAACGGCGAGUGAAGCGGCAACAGCUCAAAUUUGAAAGCUGGCUCCGGCCCGCGUUGUAAUUUGCAGAGGAUGCUUUUGGCGAGGUGCCUUCCGAGUUCCCUGGAACGGGACGCCAUAGAGGGUGAGAGCCCCGUAUGGAUGGACACCAGACCUGUGUAAAGCUCCUUCAACGAGUCGAGUAGUUUGGGAAUGCUGCUCUAAAUGGGAGGUAAAUCUCUUCUAAAGCUAAAUACCGGCCAGAGACCGAUAGCGCACAAGUAGAGUGAUCGAAAGAUGAAAAGCACCUUGAAAAGGGGGUUAAACAGUACGUGAAAUUGUUGAAAGGGAAGCAUUUAUGACCAGACUUGCGCCGGGCAGCUCAUCAGGGGUUCUCCCCUGUGCACUCUGCCCGGCUCAGGCCAGCAUCGGUUCUCGUGGGAGGAUAAGAACAGUGGGAACGUGGCCCCCCUCCGGGGGGGUGUUAUAGCCCAUUGUACGAUACUCUCGUGGGGACCGAGGUUCGCGCUCCGCAAGGAUGCUGGCGUAAUGGUCAUCAAUGACCCGUCUUGAAACACGGACCAAGGAGUCGUCCAUUAGAGCGAGCGUUUGGGUGUAAAACCCGCACGCGUAAUGAAAGUGAACGCAGGUGAGAGCUUCGGCGCAUCAUCGACCGAUCCUGAUGUCUUCGGAUGGAUUUGAGUAAGAGUUUUAACGGACGGACCCGAAAGACAGUGAACUAUGCUUGUAUAGGGUGAAGCCAGAGGAAACUCUGGUGGAGGCUCGCAGCGGUUCUGACGUGCAAAUCGAUCGUCAAAUAUGAGCAUGGGGGCGAAAGACUAAUCGA
rnacentral:rRNA from 1 species